rnacentral:tRNA from 2 species
UCAUCAGAUGACUGAAAG